UACGUAGGGGGCGAGCGUUGUCCGGAGUUACUGGGCGUAAAGGGCACGCAGGCGGUCAUGUAAGUCUGUUCUGACAGCUCCUGGCUCAACCGGGAGAGGCGAACGGAAACUGUAUGACUUGAGGACUUCAGAGGGACACGGAAUUCCGGGUGGAGUGGUGAAAUGCGUAGAGAUCCGGAGGAACACCAAAGGCGAAGGGCAGUGUCCUGGGAAGUACCUGACGCUCAGGGUGCGAAAGCCAGGGGAGCGAACGGG
rnacentral:rRNA from 1 species